rnacentral:rRNA from 1 species
UACAGAGGUGGCAAGCGUUGUUCGGAAUUACUGGGCGUAAAGGGCGCGUAGGCGGUCUUGUAAGUUCCGUGUGAAAUCCCUCGGCUCAACUGAGGAACCGCACGGAAAACUGCUUGGCUUGAGUUCGGGAGAGGGAAGCGGAAUUCCGGGUGUAGCGGUGAAAUGCGUAGAUAUCCGGAGGAACACCGGUGGCGAAGGCGGCGACCUGGGACAAUACUGACGCUGAGGUGCGAAAGCGUGGGGAGCAAACAGG